rnacentral:rRNA from 1 species
GAUGAACGCUGGCGGCGUGCCUAAUACAUGCAAGUCGAGCGAACGGACGAGAAGCUUGCUUCUCUGAUGUUAGCGGCGGACGGGUGAGUAACACGUGGAUAACCUACCUAUAAGACUGGGAUAACUUCGGGAAACCGGAGCUAAUACCGGAUAAUAUUUUGAACCGCAUGGUUCAAAAGUGAAAGACGGUCUUGCUGUCACUGAUAGAUGGAUCCGCGCUGCAUUAGCUAGUUGGUAAGGUAACGGCUUACCAAGGCAACGAUGCAUAGCCGACCUGAGAGGGUGAUCGGCCACACUGGAACUGAGACACGGUCCAGAGUCCUACGGGAGGCAGCAGUAGGGAAUCUUCCGCAAUGGGCGAAAGCCUGACGGAGCAACGCCGCGUGAGUGAUGAAGGUCUUCGGAUCGUAAAACUCUGUUAUUAGGGAAGAACAUAUGUGUAAGUAACUGUGCACAUCUUGACGGUACCUAAUCAGAAAGCCACGGCUAACUACGUG